rnacentral:rRNA from 2 species
AUCUGGCUCAGGACGAACGCUGGCGGCGUGCCUUAUACAUGCAAGUCGAGCGAAUCGAUGGGAGCUUGCUCCCUGAGAUUAGCGGCGGACGGGUGAGUAACACGUGGGCAACCUGCCUAUAAGACUGGGAUAACUUCGGGAAACCGGAGCUAAUACCGGAUACGUUCUUUUCUCGCAUGAGAGAAGAUGGAAAGACGGUUUCGGCUGUCACUUAUAGAUGGGCCCGCGGCGCAUUAGCUAGUUGGUGAGGUAAUGGCUCACCAAGGCGACGAUGCGUAGCCGACCUGAGAGGGUGAUCGGCCACACUGGGACUGAGACACGGCCCAGACUCCUACGGGAGGCAGCAGUAGGGAAUCUUCCGCAAUGGACGAAAGUCUGACGGAGCAACGCCGCGUGAACGAAGAAGGCCUUCGGGUCGUAAAGUUCUGUUGUUAGGGAAGAACAAGUACCAGAGUAACU